rnacentral:tRNA from 1 species
GCCGCCAUGGCUUAGUUGGUAGAGCGGCUGAUUCGUAAUCAGCAGGUCGGGGGUUCAAAUCCCUCUGGCGGCU